AACGAACGCUGGCGGCGUGCUUAACACAUGCAAGUCGAACGCGAAAGGGACUUCGGUCCCGAGUAGAGUGGCGCACGGGUGAGUAACGCGUAGAUAACCUGUCCUUAUGUCUGGAAUAAUACGUCGAAAGGUGUACUAAUACCGGAUAUUCUUGCUUUUCACAAGUUAUGCAAGCAAAGGUGGCCUCUGACAUAAGCUACUGCAUAAGGAGGGGUCUGCGUACCAUUAGCUAGUAGGUGGGGUAAUGGCCCACCUAGGCGACGAUGGUUAACGGGUCUGAGAGGAUGAUCCGUCACACUGGCACUGGAACACGGGCCAGACUCCUACGGGAGGCUG
rnacentral:rRNA from 1 species